GCCCGGUUAGCUCAAUCGGUAGAGCGUGAGACUCUUAACAGUUUCACUUUCUCGGAAAGCGAUUGGAUGGUAUCUCAAGGUUGCGGGUUCGACCCCCGCAUCGGGCU
rnacentral:tRNA from 1 species